ACAGUGAGCUGUAGCCCUGCCCGCUGGCCAUGGGAGAGGCUUAAAACAAACGCCGGAAGCAACUCCCAGCCCCAUAAAGCUCUGUGACCGGCAGCGCCGGACCUGCCUGCCUUCCUGACUUCUGUUCCAGGGCAAAGGUCAUUUAGCCGCUUGAAUCAGCCUUUCCCCCCCCUUCCCCAACUUUGUUUACCCGAUAAGGAAGGUCAGCAUUCAAAGUCAAGAAGCUAUCGUCCUCUGCGUUCUACAAAUAGUUCCGUGAGAAAGAUGGCCGGGAACUCGAUCCUGCUGGCUGCUGUCUCUAUUCUCUCGGCCUGUCAGCAAAGUUAUUUUGCUUUGCAAGUUGGAAAGGCAAGAUUAAAAUACAAAGUUACACCCCCAGCAGUCACUGGGUCACCAGAGUUUGAGAGAGUAUUUCGGGCACAACAAAACUGUGUGGAGUUUUAUCCUGUAUUCAUAAUUACAUUGUGGAUGGCUGGGUGGUAUUUCAACCAAGUUUUUGCUACUUGUCUGGGUCUGAUGUACAUAUAUGGCCGUCACCUGUACUUCUGGGGAUAUUCAGAAGCUGCUAAAAAACGGAUCACUGGUUUCCGAUUGAGUCUGGGGAUUUUGGCCUUGUUGACCCUCCUGGGUGCCCUGGGAAUUGCAAACAGCUUUAUGGAUGAAUAUCUGGACCUCAAUAUUGCCAAGAAACUGAGGCGGCAAUUCUAACUUUUUCUCUUCCCUUUAAUGCUUGCAGAAGCUGUUCCCACCAUGAAGGCACAAUUUCAAGAGGAAAAGGAUAUCGUUUCAAGGAAUUGCCCAGGGACCAGUGCGAAGAGGAUAUUCUUUCUCUUGGCUGAGGAAGUGGAGCCUCCCUACCUCCAGAUGAACCAGUUGGAAAUGGAACUGUUGUGGUACUGAAUCUACAAAUGGAUUGCACUAUGUUCCAUGCAAAGUUGACUUUCCUCCCUUCCCUUUGCCACAUCCUUCAGAGUGCGGCAGUAAAUUUAGAAAGUAUCAGUUGAGAAGUUGAAUGCAAAGGCUGGG